ACCGCACAGCAUAUUCUGCCCCGUGCAUCCGUAGGUGGCUUUGUUUUCUUUUUCUUACUGAACAAUGUCAUGUUUCCUAUUCCCAGGCGAUAAUGAACUUCGUUUAUCUUGCCAUUGGAGCAAGGCUUGCUUCAACACUUCGUAAGUAGAUUAUUUCCUAUCCAUAUUUUUUCAUAACCAUUACUAGGCAUAAAUCUUCAUUUGGUUUCAGGAGCAGUGCUUUCUUCAACACUUCGUAAGUGUAUUAUUUCCUGUACAGAAUUUAUCAUUACCAUUACUAGGCAGAAAUCAUCAUUUGGUUUCAUAAUUUGCUAACUGUAGUAAAUGGUUACUUAUACAGAAGACUUGUUUUCCCAAAUUUAGGUGAUUUCUGCUAUAGUUUACUCACCCAGUACACAUACCUUUCUUACUGCGUUCGUUCGGUUCAUCGCUCGGUGGAAGCGCUAUGGCGGAGCUCGGCAGUAGACCUCACCGUGGACUCAGGAGACCGGCAUCCCCAAUCGUAGCGAGAGGGACGACCAGCGGGACACAGUCCAAGCGGCAAGGCUUCCCCAUGGUAGAUACGAGGUGAUUUCUAGAGUUCAAUUAUCCAGAGCGUGAUCCUGCCCGAGGAGAUUUCAAAGGUCUUGGAAAUCCAGCCAUCGCCGUCGGGUAUCCCACCCCCGAGCCUGCGCCCCCACCAACCCCGCCCCCGAGUUCACCCGCCACCAAGCUCGUCGCCGGGUAUUCCGCGCCCCACCAAACUGUUAGAAUUGAAGUAUCAUCUCUGCAUAAGUGUAUAUGUCCUUUAUUUACUUGAAUUGAUUUAGUCAACAGUCUGUCUUUUGCCUAAAAUUAUGGCUCUGGACUGUUCUGUUCCAUCCAAAAGCAGUACAAUAUCUUCCCUAUAUGUAAACAUAUUGUGUAUUAACAUUUUAUCAAAUGAUAAUCUAUGUGCCGUUAAAAUACACAAACUAACAUUUGAUCGUACACUUUUCAAAAGGAUACUAUGGCAUGUAGACCUAUUGAUCCUGAAGAAUAACUUAGAUAGAUGUCUCAAGAAGUUCGUGGUUAUUGUUGUCUGUGUGAUUAUAGCAAUGUAUUUCAUGGCAAUCUUUAUAGCAUGGUAGUAGCUUUGUUUAGAUUGAAGUGAUUUUUCUUUGACAGUCAAAACACAUGUAUUAGCAUGUUCAUAACAGAUGCACACUUAAGAUAGUAGAAGUAAUGCAUUCUAUUGACUUACUAGGCAUCAUAUGAACCUAGCUCAUUUCCUAACACGAACUGUUUUUAGUUCGACUCUUUGAUAAAGUUCAUACAAUAAUUGACAAUUCACAAUCUGAUUUAGUUUUCAGUUCACACAAUCUGACUCACACAAUUUGACUAAGUUUUCUAGACUGAAUCAGCAUUAGAUUCAUUGUUCUGGACUGAAUGUAACAAGGUUGUGGUACACACGAAUUCUGAAGAUUAUACAAUGGCCAAGUGCUGUGAAAAACAGACUGACGACUGCUGGAGAUUAUACUAUGGCCAUGCAGAUGUGUGCCAAGAUGAUCUAUAUAACCAUCAAAACUACUAAAUGAGGGCUCUAUCCUUAGUAGGAAGCCAAGGCAGCUGCAUCAGGGAAUGAGACACCUGCAGGAGCAAGUUCUGAUGCACCACCCUUUUCAAUGAUACCAAAGUUCUCACACAUAAUGCAUUCACCAACAAUUAUUGGGUUCCAUAGCAUAAUGCAUUGAGGAAAUCUGCUACUGGUUGCAUUCAACAACAGUUUUCAAACACAAUCUGUAGCUUUAUUGGCAACUACAAUCAGGUUUACAUCAGGUUUCGUAGAUAUAAUGUACAGCUAUAACAUGCUUCAUCUUUUUUUUUCUGUCUUGUACUCUUUAUGCAGUCCAAGAUGAGAAUACAUCUCAAUUUCACAUGGGCUAUAUAUAAGGUCAAAAUUCAUAAGCAAAGUAAGCAAGUGAUGUAGAAAAAAAUGCAAACAAUAUGCUACUGUAAGUCUUUCCUAAUUUUAACUUAUUAGAAGUCAGUAAGCAUUUUUUAACAAUUGUGGUUGACAACAAAAUAAAGAAUGAGCUUUGGACCCUUGGAAUUUAUGUCCAAAGUUUCAAUGGUGAUUUACUUUAUGAGCCAUGUCAUGUUUAUGAUGAGACUGGGCAUGCAUUUACAACCUUUAACAAAAACAGGGAGAAAUGUAUGAACCUACCUAUUGAGAUAUCACAAUAUAUUGCACCUACGAGGUUGGUGGCAACAUUAGGUUUUUUUUGCCAUAACAUCAUUUCUGUUUUCAUGAGCAUCUGUAGAUUUUUUUAUUUCAUUGCACAACAUAGAUUUUUUUUAGUUUUGGUUCUUCAUAUAACGUCUAUAAUGGCUUUAGUUGUUUGCUCCGAAGCACUACUCAUUAGUAUUCCAUAUACACAAUUUUAGUGAUUGCUCCUCUACUAUUUGGAUUUAAUGCUUCUAUAGUCAAUAAAUCAGCAUAUUUCUUCUUUAAUUUAAUAUUUUGGUCUAAAAUUCAGGUCCAGCGAAUGUUCGUUGAUGUUCGAUUGAUGAUCGAGGUUUGCAUUAAAAUAAAGAUAUGUAGACUGAAAAUGUAUUUUAUAUGCACAAAUUAGCUAUGGUUUGUAGGGGAAAAUCAUCUUAUUUUUCAUACUGCUUGAAUACAUGUAUUUUAUAGGCGUGGGUGCUAGCUUUCAGGAGGUGGUUGGUGGAGUUGGAGGGGUCGAUUGGGGAAGAGGGGGAGAGGAUGAAGACAACUGCACUGGUGCACUGGAGCUCGACAACCUCGAGAGGGUCAGGUGGGCUUGCUAGCAUUUUGCACCAAAUCUUCUUUAUGUUUCAUCUGUUUGGUGUUGUCUUUGUACACUUCAAAUGGCUUAAUUAAUUAUCUGUGUCUCAAAGAAAAGAACAUCAAUUUAGACAGUUAACAUUAGGCAAUCAAGAGAUGUAUUUGAAAAAAAGAAUUAGUUGAGAAGGCUUGUCUACAUAUGACCUCCAGUGAUUUCGAGAACUAAUGGGAAGUACUACUGAAGAUUGUGCAACGUUAGGGGGAGGACCCUGCCCGCCCCUCGGAAUUAUUAAAGCUGAAGUGCGUCUAAUCAACUGAAAUUUGUGUGCAGUUUUGUUAUGGCAGUACAAAACACUCAUCUAAUUAGCAGUGCACGAGAAAAAGGACAUCCUAUAUGAGUGUCAUAUUGGUCAUGACACUAGCUUCAUAUUGAGCUGCUUGUUUACACGAGCUUGCGAUUGCCUUUUAGGACCGAUGAUUAUAGAUAUUAACUUUUUCCUAUGUGUCAUGUUUAUUGAUUUCAAUAUGUACGGUUAUGAUUUAUCUUUUCUCAUCAAAUAAUGUGAGAUAUUGAGGUGCAUGAUAAAUUAUGUAUUCUUUA